GCUGGUCUCCCUUGCGAGAGGGGGGCAUGUGCACGCUUGUCAUCUUUAUCUCUCCAACUGUGCACAUAUUGUAGACCUGGAGUUGUCUUUGUUGAUUCAUUCGAGUUGGCACUGCAGUGCUUCUUACAAACAAAAAAAAAAGUCUGCUCUGCCUUUUGCAUUUCCAGGUCUAUGUCAUUUUCACAACCUCAAUGUGUUUAGAAUGUUGAAUCAGGUCCUUUUUGUACCUAUAAAGUUAAAUAUACAACUUUCAGCAACGGAUCUCUUGGCUCUCGCAUCGAUGAAGAACGCAGCGAAAUGCGAUAAGUAAUGUGAAUUGCAGAAUUCAGUGAAUCAUCGAAUCUUUGAACGCAUCUUGCGCUCUUUGGUAUUCCGAGGAGCAUGCCUGUUUGAGUGUCAUUUCAAGUUCUCAACCGCAUCAAUUUCUCAUUGAUGUGGCUUGGAUGUGGGGGAUUGCAGGCUUCUGUCAAAGGAGGUCGGCUCCCCUGAAAAACAUUAGUGGUAUCUGAGCAGAAGAAACUACUACAGGUGUGAUAAUUAUCUAUGCCUUUCAGUAUGCUGCAUAAAAACAGACUGCACUGCUUCUAAGCUAGUGAAAACCUCUCUACAAAGGAGGGGCCACGU
rnacentral:rRNA from 1 species